CUCAUGGGUGGUACUAAUGUUUUUCUUGUUGCAUUAUUGGUGGUGCUCUAAACAGUGUCUAAUAGUAACAGUAAUAACAGGCAUCCCUCUCUCCUUUCUGACUUUGAAACAAUGUUGUUGUUUGGGCUUCUGGUAGAUACUUUUACCAAGUACAUUAGUCUGACAAGGGGGUGCUGAUGCAAAGUUCCAGAAAUAUGUUGGCUUUUAUAAAGGGUAUUUAUUUGGAGUAGAAACUUAAAGUUACAAGGCCCUAAAGAAUCCAACUCAAGGUUCCUUUCUCACCAGUCAGUUGCCACGUGUUGAAGCAAGAUAGUUGCUGGUCACUGCGAGGGUUCAGCCUUCCUCUCUCUCAGCUACAGGUUGGCACAGGGCUCUUCUCUCUUCCUGGGGCUUUAGCUGUUUAAGCUUUCUCCUUUCUGUCACAUGGCAAGACCAAAAUAAUCAAAUUCUUUCCUCUUCCUUGUCUUCUUUUGUGUGUCUUCUUGACUGAGUAUCCAUUUAUAUAGCCCACCAAGGGGGUGGGGACUCAACCCUGAAUUAAACUCUAAUAAUAAUAAUAAUAAUCUUAAACUGCCAUACCACGUUAAGAAUGUUUCCCUCUUUUGCUACCUCUAAGAGUUUUUAUUAGGAAUUACAUGUUGCUUGUUAUCUAAAACAGUAAAAUAUAUUAAGUGCCACCUGCACUCAAGAUUCUAAACUAGGUAUUGUGGAAGAGCCAAAGAACUAUGAAAGAAGCUAGUACACCUGUCCUGGAAAAAAAAUUGUCAUCUGGCUGGGAAGAUAAGACUUAAGAUAAAUAAAAGGAAUGAAUAAAGCUUUGGAAAGAAUGGUUAUUGUGAUAGAUAAUCAUGGUUAUGUUUUUCUUCCAAAACAGAUUUAUUCUCAUAGAGCAGCAUCAGAGGAAGAUGAAGAAAAAGGCCCACGGAGGGAUUUUUCUGGAGAAGACGGCCACUUUGACUGAGGGAUAUGUAUAAGCCUCUCAACGCCACACGCAAGAAAAACAUGGCACACAAGCUACAUGACAAAGACUCUUCAGAUUAGGAUGAGAUUUUCAACAAGGAUGCAGGGUAAAUGACGGGGGACAAUUUAAACGUCUUAUCUAAAUGAGUUAAAGUCUUACUUUCAAGAGUAAAAGCCAUUGGCAUCAAUCUUCUCCCAGGGAGCGCAGUGCCCCACCAGAGAAAAUGGAGUCUCUAGAAGCUGCUGAAGAGGAAACUGAAGAAGCCACAGUGUGACCCCCGCCCCACCUCAGGCCACCUGCAGAUUUUAUUUUCUAAUAUUGACUUCUCAGCAUUACUUGUAAAAAUGCCUAUUUUCCUCAUAUUAAAAUGUUUAAAACCCAUAGCCGAUUCUAGCUAUGUGGUAAGGAAUCAAAAUGUAA
rnacentral:lncRNA from 1 species